AGUUAGAAUUUAUGGGUUUUUUUUUAAUUGUCCUAUUUGCAUUGCAAAUAUUUUUAUGCUCAUUUGAUAUUCAUGUUGCUCGCCACGUUUGUACGAGGUGUUUGGAAGUUCGGUUUCUUGGUUCAAAAUUCGCCCAAUACCUUUUCUAAAUUAGAAGAAUCGUUGCCAAGCAUGUUCCAGACAAAAACCCUUGUUACAGGAACCUUCUGGAACGAAAGUGAAUCGUAUGUGGUACUUGAGAGCCGGAAACGGCAAGCGAGUUCAAGCUGCGAAGUAGACUCGCAGUACUUUUGACUUGCUGGUGGUCUUAUCAGGCAAUGGAACAAAACAUGAAGACAGUGGAAAAGUGGAAGAUCAGUGACGGAGCAAAAUACAACUAUGGCAGGCAGGCUUGAAGUUUAUCAGGUGAAGAAUUAGAACAGAGAAAGAUCUAAGAUGGACCUAUAUACAUCUUCAGCAGGUCAGUUCAUGUUUUCCUAAAUUCUGAAUGGAGUUAUAAAGCUAGUCAUGUACUAUACACAAAACAGACAGGAGUAGCCAGUUUUGGCAAAUAACCUGUUCUUGCUAAUAAUUUCUUUGCCCAAUAAGAACAUUGCUUUUAGUUUGCGUUACGUUAUGCGGUAUGUUUUGCUGUACGUUUUGCGUUACCUAAGGAAAUUAUUACUAUGAAUAAUUUUGUUCAUCAAGAUGUCUUUUGUAUUUGUCGUCAGGCAGACAUCUAGCACGGAGACGGGUGACAUCGCUACAGUGAAAGAUCAGUGGUGGAGUUAAAGACAUCUACGAUGCAAGGUCAUUUGAUGUUUCACUUUACCUGGGAUAAAGUUCCAAAGAGUAGCUGGCCUUUUGUUUGUUUAUUUGUUAAAGUCAAAAUCCAUACUUUUGCUGCGAUUUUUUUUCUUUGGACUAGGAGAGCAAAUGUCGUUUAGUCACGUAAUGUUAGAAUGGUCGAACAUAAUUACAAAAUUUUCUGCAAAUAAACAAAACCUGAUUAGCUUGUCUAUAUUU
rnacentral:lncRNA from 1 species